ACGACCUUACUUGAACAGGAUCUGUUCUAUAGGCUCGUACCGCUGCAUCCUUUACCAAUAAGGAGGCAAGCACUUCAGUCUGGUUGAUGCAUUCUAACCUCUAGGCCAGAGCGUGAUUAACGGCUAGGAUUCUCUCUUGAUGGGUGUUAUCUGAUGGCUGUAGAGGAUCGUUCCUGUUCCAGUUCACACUGGUGCAGGGUGGCUCAGAGGUUGUCUGACAGACU
rfam:Triticum aestivum genome assembly, contig: Triticum_aestivum_CS42_TGACv1_scaffold_514370_6BS